ACAGGCUUAACACAUGCAAGUCGAGGGGCAGCAUGGUCUUAGCUUGCUAAGACUGAUGGCGACCGGCGCACGGGUGAGUAACACGUAUCCAACCUGCCGUCUACUCUUGGACAGCCUUCUGAAAGGAAGAUUAAUACAAGAUGGCAUCAUGAGUCCGCAUGUUCACAUGAUUAAAGGUAUUCCGGUAGACGAUGGGGAUGCGUUCCAUUAGAUAGUAGGCGGGGUAACGGCCCACCUAGUCUUCGAUGGAUAGGGGUUCUGAGAGGAAGGUCCCCCACAUUGGAACUGAGACACGGUCCAAACUCCUACGGGAGGCAGCAGUGAGGAAUAUUGGUCAAUGGGCGAGAGCCUGAACCAGCCAAGUAGCGUGAAGGAUGACUGCCCUAUGGGUUGUAAACUUCUUUUAUAAAGGAAUAAAGUCGGGUAUGCAUACCCGUUUGCAUGUACUUUAUGAAUAAGGAUCGGCUAACUCCGUGCCAGCAGCCGCGGUAAUACGGAGGAUCCGAGCGUUAUCCGGAUUUAUUGGGUUUAAAGGGAGCGUAGAUGGAUGUUUAAGUCAGUUGUGAAAGUUUGCGGCUCAACCGUAAAAUUGCAGUUGAUACUGGAUAUCUUGAGUGCAGUUGAGGCAGGCGGAAUUCGUGGUGUAGCGGUGAAAUGCUUAGAUAUCACGAAGAACUCCGAUUGCGAAGGCAGCCUGCUAAGCUGCAACUGACAUUGAGGCUCGAAAGUGUGGGUAUCAAACAGGAUUAGAUACCCUGGUAGUCCACACGGUAAACGAUGAAUACUCGCUGUUUGCGAUAUACGGCAAGCGGCCAAGCGAAAGCGUUAAGUAUUCCACCUGGGGAGUACGCCGGCAACGGUGAAACUCAAAGGAAUUGACGGGGGCCCGCACAAGCGGAGGAACAUGUGGUUUAAUUCGAUGAUACGCGAGGAACCUUACCCGGGCUUAAAUUGCAGAUGAAUUACGGUGAAAGCCGUAAGCCGCAAGGCAUCUGUGAAGGUGCUGCAUGGUUGUCGUCAGCUCGUGCCGUGAGGUGUCGGCUUAAGUGCCAUAACGAGCGCAACCCUUGUUGUCAGUUACUAACAGGUUCCGCUGAGGACUCUGACAAGACUGCCAUCGUAAGAUGUGAGGAAGGUGGGGAUGACGUCAAAUCAGCACGGCCCUUACGUCCGGGGCUACACACGUGUUACAAUGGGGGGUACAGAGGGCCGCUACCACGCGAGUGGAUGCCAAUCCCAAAAACCUCUCUCAGUUCGGACUGGAGUCUGCAACCCGACUCCACGAAGCUGGAUUCGCUGGUAAUCGCGCAUCAGCCACGGCGCGGUGAAUACGUUCCCGGGCCUUGUACACACCGCCCGUCAAGCCAUGGGAGCCGGGGGUACCUGAAGUGCGUAACCGCGAGGAGCGCCCUAGGGUAAAACUGGUGACUGGGGCU
rnacentral:rRNA from 1 species